rnacentral:rRNA from 1 species
AUGGCGGAAGCCACGAGGAAGUACCUGGUGCAGGUGGCGGAGGGGAGGGAGGCGGCGCCCGAGGAGGGCGGCGCGCCGUCGGCCGGGCCCGUCUACCGCUGCGCCGCCGGCGCCGGCGGGGCGUCGCCGCCCGCCGUGCCGGGGCUCGAGUCAUGCUGGGACAUAUUCCGUUUGUCUGUGGAAAAGUACCCUGGCAACCCGAUGAUGGGCCGCCGUGAAAUCAUGGACGGAAAGGCUGGCAAGUACACAUGGGUGACUUACAAAGAAGUAUACGACACUGUGAUCAAGGUAGGGGCUUCAAUCCGGAGCUGCGGCAUCAACAAGGGAGGACGAUGUGGUAUCUAUGGAGGCAAUAGCCCUGAGUGGGUUGUGAGUAUGCAGGCCUGCAAUGCCCAUGGCAUUUACUGUGUUCCAUUGUAUGACACACUUGGUGCUGGGGCAAUAGAAUUUAUAUUGUGCCAUGCAGAGGUCGAAAUUGCUUUUGUGGAGGAGAAGAAGAUUGGAGAGGUACUCAAGACAUUACCAAACGCGACCAAAUUUUUGAAGACCAUCGUGAGCUUUGGUAAGGUCAGCCCUGAUCAGAAGGAAAAGGUUGAGCAGAACGGAUUGUCUAUCUACUCAUGGUCCGAGUUUGUGCUUAAGGGAGAUGGGGCUGAAGAGAAGUAUGAACUCCCUCCAAAGGAAAAGGCUGACAUAUGCACGAUAAUGUAUACCAGUGGAACAACUGGUGAUCCAAAGGGAGUUUUAAUCUCUAAUAAGAGCAUUAUCACCAUUGUUUCAGCAGUGGAUGAGUUCCUUCGCAAUUCAAAUGAACAGAUUCGUGAGGAUGAUGUUUACAUUUCUUAUCUUCCGCUUGCCCACAUAUUUGACCGUGUGAUUGAGGAGGUGUUCAUUCACCACGGGGCCUCAAUUGGAUUUUGGCGUGGAGAUGUCAAACUCUUGGUUGAAGACAUUGGAGAACUCAAGCCAACAAUAUUCUGUGCUGUUCCACGUGUGCUAGACAGAAUCUAUGGAGGACUUCAAGAUAAAGUCUCAACCGGUGGCUUCCUAAAGAAGACAUUGUUCAAUGUUGCGUACAAAUACAAACAAGGGAACAUGAUAAAAGGAAGCAAGCAUGAAGAUGCUGCUUCUAUUUUUGACAAACUAGUCUUCACCAAGGUGAAACGAGGAUUGGGUGGUAGAGUGCGAGUAAUUUUAUCAGGCGCAGCUCCUCUAUCUAAUCAUGUCGAGGAGUUUCUGCGUGUCGUUACAUGCUCUCAUGUUCUCCAAGGCUAUGGUCUCACAGAGACCUGUGCUGGGUCUUUUGUUUCGUUGCCAAACAACAUGUCCAUGCUGGGAACUGUCGGCCCUCCUGUCCCAUACGUUGAAGUACACUUAGAAUCUGUUCCUGAGAUGGGGUAUGAUGCAUUAUCAAAAGAAUCACCUCGUGGGGAGAUUUGCAUCAGAGGGGACACCUUGUUCUCAGGGUACUAUAAGCGAGAAGACCUCACCAAGGAAGUCUUGGUCGAUGGCUGGUUCCACACAGGAGACAUUGGUGAGUGGCAGCAUGAUGGAAGCAUGAAGAUCAUCGACCGCAAGAAGAACAUAUUCAAGCUUUCCCAAGGAGAAUACGUCGCGGUUGAGAAUCUAGAGAACAUAUUUGGUCAAGCUCCUAAUGUUGAUUCGAUUUGGGUGUAUGGAAACAGCUUCGAAUCAUGCCUGGUUGCGGUGAUCAACCCCAACAAGCAAGGUCUGGAACGAUGGGCUGAGUCGAACGGGGUUAGCGGAGACUUUGCCUCGAUAUGUGGAGAUGCUAAAGCGAAAGAGUUCAUCUUGGAAGAACUGAGCAAAACUGGCAAAGAUAAGAAGCUCAAAGGCUUUGAGAUGAUCAGGGCUGUUCAUCUGGAGCCGGUGCUCUUUGACAUGGAGCGCGACCUCAUCACCCCAACUUACAAGAAGAAGCGGCCGCAGCUCCUCAAAUAUUAUCAGGGCAUCAUUGACGAAAUGUAUAAGAGCAUGAAGUAG